rnacentral:tRNA from 1 species
CGGGGGGUAGUUCAAUGGGAGAAUGCGCGCUUUGGAAGCGUGAGGUUGUCGGUUCGAGUCCGGCUCCCCCGACCA